rnacentral:rRNA from 1 species
CAGCAGCCACGGUAAUACGAAGGGGGCUAGCGUUGUUCGGAUUUACUGGGCGUAAAGCGCACGUAGGCGGAUCGAUCAGUCAGGGGUGAAAUCCUGGAGCUCAACUCCAGAACUGCCUUUGAUACUGUCGAUCUCGAGUCCGGAAGAGGUGAGUGGAACUCCUAGUGUAGAGGUGGAAUUCGUAGAUAUUAGGAAGAACACCAGUGGCGAAGGCGGCUCACUGGUCCGGUACUGACGCUGAGGUGCGAAAGCGUGGGGAGCAGACAGGAUUAGAUACCCCAGUAGUCCCUGUCUCUUAUAC